CAGCGCCACGAGUGGUAAUCGUUUAUUUGGCCUAAAGCGUCCGUAGCUGGUGUUGUAAAUCUUUUGUGAAAUUGUUGUGCUUAACAUAACAACGUGCAGAAGACACUGCAACGCUUGAGACCGGGGGGAGUCAGGAGUAUUCUUGGGGGAGCGGUAAAAUGCUAUAAUCCCAGGAAGACUACCAGUGGCGAAGGCGCCUGACUAGAACGGAUCUGACAGUGAGGGACGAAAGCCAGGGGAGCAAACCGGAUUAGAUACCCGAGUAGCC
rnacentral:rRNA from 1 species